CCCAAGCAGCUGGGACUAUAAGUGCAUGCCAUCAUACCCAGCUUGUUUUAGACUUUUAGGACAGUUUUUAUUUUGACUAUUCUCUGGAAGCAUUGAAAUUUUUGAGAUGAACUUGGUGUGAGAAAAUCUGACAGCUCAUACCGCACUAAUAAGGGUAUUCUUAUUGACAUUAGCUCGGAGAAAGAUGACAUAAUGUUUGAGACCAGGUACUUGUAGUAACCCCUUGCUCUGUGGCCUCUCUUCAAUUCAGGGAAGCUACCUCAGACCUAGAGAUUGUGAUGGAAGCCCCAGGGAUGGAAGCCCGACCCUCUCAGGAUGAUGACCUGGGAGUCUAGCUUCCUGGGAGGGGCCUCCUCAGAAGGGGAAGCCCUGGGACCCUGGGAACUUGAGGUCCAGAGAGGGAGACCCUUCAGCUGGCUCAGCCUGCCCAACUAUGCCAAAGAGUACCAUGAUCCGGGAAGACUGGUUUUCUCUUGUCUCAGCCAGCCUCAAUGUCCUUCCGCCUACUCCUGGUUUGACUUUUGAGGACCAAGGGUUCCUGUUGAGGUUUUCUGCACUGUGCACCAUUGUCCUCUUACUUACCUCAAUAAAUCUGUAAACAUGU